UACGAAGGGGGCUAGCGUUGCUCGGAAUUACUGGGCGUAAAGGGCGCGUAGGCGGCACUGUUAGUCAGGCGUGAAAGUCCUGGGCUCAACCUGGGAACUGCGCUUGAUACGGCAGAGCUAGAGGAUGGAAGAGGGUCGCGGAAUUCCCAGUGUAGAGGUGAAAUUCGUAGAUAUUGGGAAGAACACCGGUGGCGAAGGCGGCGACCUGGUCCAUUACUGACGCUGAGGCGCGACAGCGUGGGGAGCAAACAGGAUUGAGAUACCCC
rnacentral:rRNA from 1 species